GCCGCUUGGUUGCGAAGCACAGCCGAUCAAAGCAGAAACGCAUCCAGGCGGCUUUCCUGAUCAACAGCCGCCACGGAAAACUCAGUCACCCAAACGUUAGGAGCCCUAAAAAAGCUUGCCCCUCUGGCAAAUUGCGAUCAUUGUCGACGUUGGCUAAUCAAAACUGACAUUUGCGAUCAUCAGGAGAUCCCGAACAAAUAUUCCGAAUGUCCCGCCUGUCAAUCAGAGAAAGAGACGGCAACAGGGCGGGCCGAAAGAGACGGACAUAGAGAUUGACAGGCGGAGACAGCAUGUUAAACACCGGUAGCAACAAAUAGCAUGCCAAAAAUGCGCCGCAUUCGAAACAUUUAAACAUAAUUAAGCGGUUAGUCAGGCCCAAUGACGAUCCCAUCUUUCCUUCUCUCGAAUUGAGACAUCAAUUGAGAGUUAUGUCAACCGUAUUUGGCAACGCCAUCAUCUGUAAACAGAUAUAUAUGUUCCGAGACUGCUAUAAUUAUAGGUUUCAAUUACUGGCGAGUGACCGGCGCUUCCUCAAAAUGCGAACAAACAAACUCACAAGAAGCAGCACCAAAUUGAAACAAGAAUUCUCCGGAUUUCUACUAGACAUACAUAUAGGAAACUCACUCGACAACCAUGAAGAGAAUUCUGGAUUCUGGACCCCACAACAAGUGCCUGUAGCUUUUCCCCGCUCUUCUUUUCGGACCCCUUAUACCAUCCGUUAUGACAGUUCUUGGCUACCGAAUGCACUGCGAGAAAACAUCACCUAUAGCAACAUUUAUUUAAUUAUAUUUUAAUGAGUUCAUAAAUUAAAAAUCCUAGUGGUAUGAUCAUAUCAUA